ensembl:rRNA 5S_rRNA 5S ribosomal RNA
UUUAAAGCCAUGGGUUUAUUUGGCCACAGCAGACCAAGAUCAGUCACUCACUGAAGCUAAGCAGAGCUGAGCCUGGUCAGUACCUGGAUGGGAGACCACAUGGGAAAACUAGGUUGCUGUUGGAA